UACGGAGGGUGCGAGCGUUGUCCGGAAUCACUGGGCGUAAAGGGCGCGUAGGCGGCCUGAUAAGUAGGGGGUGAAAUCCUGCGGCUUAACCGCAGGGCUGCCUUCUAAACUGUCAGGCUCGAGCACAGUAGAGGCAGGUGGAAUUCCCGGUGUAGCGGUGGAAUGCGUAGAGAUCGGGAAGAACACCGAUGGCGAAGGCAGCUCUCUGGGACGGUACUGACGCUGAGACGCGAAAGCGUGGGGAGCGAACAGG
rnacentral:rRNA from 1 species